UGGGGAAUUUUGGACAAUGGGCGAAAGCCUGAUCCAGCAAUGCCGCGUGUGUGAAGAAGGCCUUCGGGUUGUAAAGCACUUUUGUCCGGAAAGAAAUCCUUGGCUCUAAUACAGUCGGGGGAGUGACGUACCGGAAGAAUAAGCACCGGCUAACUACGUGCCAGCAGCCGCGGUAAUACGUAGGGUGCAAGCGUUAAUCGGAAUUACUGGGCGUAAGCGUGCGCAGGCGGUUUGCUAAGACCGAUGUGAAAUCCCCGGGCUCAACCUGGGAACUGCAUUGGUGACUGGCAGGCUAGAGUAUGGCAGAGGGGGGCUAGAAUUCCACGUGUAGCAGUGAAAUGCGUAGAGAUGUGGAGGAAUACCGAUGGCGAAGGCAG
rnacentral:rRNA from 1 species